rnacentral:rRNA from 1 species
UACGGAGGGUGCAAGCGUUAUCCGGAUUCACUGGGUUUAAAGGGUGCGUAGGCGGGUAAGUAAGUCCGUGGUGAAAUCUCUGAGCUUAACUCAGAAACUGCCGUGGAUACUAUUUGCCUUGAAUAUUGUGGAGGUGAGCGGAAUAUGUCAUGUAGCGGUGAAAUGCUUAGAUAUGACAUAGAACACCAAUUGCGAAGGCAGCUCACUACACAAUCAUUGACGCUGAGACGCGAAAGCGUGGGGAGCAAACAGG